rnacentral:rRNA from 1 species
AUUGAACGCUGGCGGCAUGCCUUACACAUGCAAGUCGAACGGUAACGGGCCUUCGGGUGCCGACGAGUGGCGAACGGGUGAGUAAUGUAUCGGAACGUACCUUUCAGUGGGGGAUAACGUAGCGAAAGUUACGCUAAUACCGCAUAUUCUGUGAGCAGGAAAGAAGGGGAUCGCAAGAACUUGCGCUGAUUGAGCGGCCGAUAUCAGAUUAGCAAGUUGGUGAGGUAAAAGCUCACCAAGGCGACGAUCUGUAGCGGGUCUGAGAGGAUGAUCCGCCACACUGGAACUGAGACACGGUCCAGACUCCUACGGGAGGCAGCAGUGGGGAAUUUUGGACAAUGGGGGCAACCCUGAUCCAGCCAUGCCGCGUGAGUGAAGAAGGCCUUCGGGUUGUAAAGCUCUUUCGGCCGGGAAGAAAUCGUAUCAGCUAAUACCUGGUGCGGAUGACGGUACCGGCAUAAGAAGCACCGGCUAACUACGUGCCAGCCGCCGCGGUAAAAC